rnacentral:rRNA from 1 species
CAGUCGCCGCGGUAAUACGUAGGUGGCAAGCGUUGUCCGGAAUUAUUGGGCGUAAAGCGCGCGCAGGCGGUUUUUUAAGUCUGGUGUCUAAGUGCGGGGCUCAACCCCGUGACGCACUGGAAACUGGGAGACUUGAGUGCAGAAGAGGAGAGCGGAAUUCCACGUGUAGCGGUGAAAUGCGUAGAGAUGUGGAGGAACACCAGUGGCGAAGGCGGCUCUCCGGACUGUAACUGACGCUGAGGAGCGAAAGCGUGGGGAGCGAACAGGAUUAGAUACCCCGGUAGUCCCUGUCUCUUAUACA